AGUGAACGCUGGCGGCAGGCCUAAUACAUGCAAGUCGAACGGCAGCACAGUGGAGCUUGCUCCAUGGGUGGCGAGUGGCGGACGGGUGAGGAAUACAUGGGAAUCUGCCCAGUCGUGGGGAUAACGUAUGGAAACGUACGCUAAUACCGCAUGCGCCCUUCGGGGGAAAGUCGGGGGACCGCAAGGCCUGACGCGAUUGGAUGAGCCCAUGUUCGAUUAGCUAGUUGGCGGGUAACGGCCCACCAAGGCGACGAUCGAUAGCUGGUCUGAGAGGAUGAUCAGCCACACUGGAACUGAGACACGGUCCAGACUCCUACGGGAGGCAGCAGUAGGGAAUAUUGGACAAUGGGCGACAAGCCUGAUCCAGCCAAUGCCGCGUGAGUGAAGAAGGCCCUCGGGUUGUAAAGCUC
rnacentral:rRNA from 1 species